rnacentral:lncRNA from 1 species
GUACCAUAUAUUCAUUCGAUAAUAUAUUUCAAGUAGUGAGUGAUCUUAAGGGCCUGAACAACAUUUGGUAUCAGAGCUGAGGUUGAAGAAAGAGUGCCGUUUUGAGAGUCGGUGGCGAGAAUAAGUGCAGCCCUUUGGCUGUAGGACUGGAACAAAAAGCAGGGAAAAUGCUUGUCGAAUUAAAUCAGAAAGAAAGUAAGAAGAUGGUGACGUCCAGAAAGAAAGAAAGAAGUCGCUGAUUAAAGAGGAAAGAGAGCAGGCCAAGAACGAAGAAAGAAGCAGAAAGAAAUCGCAAUUUCAUUGGAUCGCAAGAAAGAACCGGUGUUGUGCCGGUAUGAAAGAAAGUCCGAAGAACUCGCCGGAGACAAGAAAGACAAUGACCGAAAGAGACCGUCGUCGGAAAGGAGAUACCGGCGUAAGAAAGACCGUUUCCAGAGAAGAAGGAUUGAAGCCGUGAGAGAUCGAACGGCAUGACCGAGAACGAAUCUGUUCUCUUCACCGGAAGUAAAGACCGAGACCGUAGGUGUGAUAAUGACCGGAGUAUCGCACCAAGGUAGACCGAGACCGAGCGGUUGCCGCAGAAAGAUCGUAGACCGAAAUUUGUGAACCCAUGACCGGAGGAUUCACAAUAGACCGACAGAGGUGACGGGAGGCCGAAGAUUCACCUAAGAAAGACCGUGAUUGUGAACAAAGACCGAGAGUUCACAUUAGACCGAGUCGUGAACCGAAGACCGAAGGUGUUCACGUUAGAAAGAAAGAGAAGACCGAAAUUAGAGUAAGAUCCGAACCAUGUGUGGUUCGUAGCAAGAGUUGCAAGUGUGGUGGACUUGAUUUGGGUUGAACCGAGAAGAUAUUGGACGUGUCCGAGUGAUGGUUCGAGAAAGCGAUCCGGCGCUGCGGUUAUUUUGGGUUGAAUACGGGUCAACCCAUGGAGUAUGUUGAAGGGUAUGGAUCAGAAAAGGUCUAGAAUUGACCAAGUUUGUAGGAGAAAAGACUGGGAAAGUGGACGUUAAAGUAGUUCUAAAAUCAAGGAACGUGGUUUAUUUUUUAUGCAUGUGUUUGUUUUGUUUUCUUUUAAAUAGCAGUAGCAGCAAUAUUGUUUUGUACCAUAUAUUCAUUCGAUAAUAUAUUUCAAGCAGUGAGUGAUCUUAAGGGCCUGAACCAACAAUUGCAAGGUCUGCUGCAACUCGAUUGGAU